AGUGAACGCUGGCGGCAGGCCUAACACAUGCAAGUCGAACGAGAAAGCUUCUUCGGAAGUGAUUAAAGUGGCAAACGGGUGCGUAACACGUGGGAAUCUACCUUAAAGUUCAGAACAACCAUUGGAAACGAUGGCUAAUACUGGAUGUGCUCUACGGAGGAAAGAUUUAUCGCUUUAAGAUGAGCCCGCGUCAGAUUAGCUUGUUGGUAGGGUAAUGGCCUACCAAGGCUACGAUCUGUAGCUGGUCUGAGAGGAUGAUCAGCCACACUGGAACUGCGACACGGUCCAGACUCCUACGGGAGGCAGCAGUGAGGAAUAUUGCACAAUGGGCGAAAGCCUGAUGCAGCCAUGCCGCGUGAAUGAUGAAGGCCUUAGGGUUGUAAAGUUCUUUCAACGGGGAAGAUAAUGACGGUACCCGUACAAGAAGCACCGGCUAAUUCCG
rnacentral:rRNA from 1 species